GUCCAGGGAUGGGAAACGAACCCACAACGUUCCGCUUACCGGGCAGAUACCAUGUCCACUAGGCUACCCUGGA
rnacentral:tRNA from 1 species